CCGCGACCCCAGGUCAGGCGGGACUACCCGCUGAGUUUAANCAUAUCAUA
rnacentral:rRNA from 1 species